rnacentral:ncRNA from 1 species
CACAGGUUUGGUCCUGGCCUUUCUAUUAAUUCUUAAUAAAAUUACACAUGCAAGUAUCCGCGCCCCGGUGAGAAUGCCCUCCAGAUCCUAAAGAUCAAAAGGAGCAGGUAUCAAGCACACCUAUAACGGUAGCUCAUAACGCCUUGCUCAACCACACCCCCACGGGAAACAGCAGUGAUAAAAAUUAAGCCAUGAACGAAAGUUUGACUAAGUUAUAUUAAUUAGAGUUGGUAAAUCUCGUGCCAGCCACCGCGGUCAUACGAUUAACCCAAAUUAAUAGAUCCACGGCGUAAAGAGUGUUUAAGAAAAAAAAACCACAAUAGAGUUAAAUUAUAACUAAGCUGUAAAAAGCCCUAGUUAAAAUAAAAUAACCCACGAAAGUGACUCUAAUAAUCCUGACACACGAUAGCUAGGACCCAAACUGGGAUUAGAUACCCCACUAUGCCUAGCCCUAAACCCAAAUAGUUACAUAACAAAACUAUUCGCCAGAGUACUACUCGCAACUGCCUAAAACUCAAAGGACUUGGCGGUGCUUCACAUCCACCUAGAGGAGCCUGUUCUAUAAUCGAUAAACCCCGAUAGACCUUACCAACCCUUGCCAAUUCAGCCUAUAUACCGCCAUCUUCAGCAAACCCUAAAAAGGAACAAUAGUAAGCACAAUCAUAACACAUAAAAACGUUAGGUCAAGGUGUAGCUUAUGGGUUGGAAAGAAAUGGGCUACAUUUUCUACAUAAGAAUACACACCAUACGAAAGUUUUUAUGAAACUAAAAACCAAAGGAGGAUUUAGCAGUAAAUCAAGAAUAGAGUGCUUGAUUGAAUAAGGCCAUGAAGCACGCACACACCGCCCGUCACCCUCCUCAAGCAUGUAGUAAUAAAAAUAACCUAUAUUCAAUUACACAACCAUGCAAGAAGAGACAAGUCGUAACAAGGUAAGCAUACUGGAAAGUGUGCUUGGAUUAC